UGUCUUGUGUGUUCCUUCCUUGUCCCUUGUUUUUCAGUGCGGUUACAUGAUGCAUUCCAUUAACGACCACCAACUAGCCCGCUUAUCCCUGUUAAAUUUGCAUUUCAUAUUGCAAAACUUUGCAUUUUCAAUUUCUGAUUCAGUCAAAAUUUCUGUUCCAGACAUGCAGUAAUGAGGACGGCACCAGUAUAAAGCAACACACUCCACGCACUAAACAGAAGCUGCUGCCUGCUACAACAAGGUCAUUGUGUGGACAUUGGCUACUACUACAAGAGUCUAUGCCAAGCACAUCUUGGUCAUCACAGGACCUCCUAUCUGCGCCAACAGGAAGGGGCUGGAGCCGAAUUUGCAAGGCUUUUACACCAAGAACAAAGAAGCACAUGCAGAAGAAUAUGAAUGAGAUACCAAGUCUGCAGAGGACUGUGUCAAGACUGAAAAGAGCUUCAGCCACCAUUCCACCAGCACGGACAUUUGGCUGUCAUCCAGGUAACUCAAAAAGGACUUUCUAGGAAUUCUUCGUCUUCAGAUGCACCUGCAACAUCUGACCAAGCACGGACAACGCUGGCCAAAAGAUUGAGUUCCAUCAGUUUGCCCUUAAUCAGCUUCCUAGCCAUGUUAAUUCCGUUUGUGCCAAGUGUAAUUUUUCUUCUAUAAAUGCAAGCUUUCUCAUUGCCCA